rnacentral:rRNA from 1 species
GGCCAGACUCCUACGGGAGGCAGCAGUGGGGAAUAUUGCACAAUGGGGGAAACCCUGAUGCAGCGACGCCGCGUGAGUGAAGAAGUAUUUCGGUAUGUAAAGCCCUAUCAGCAGGGAAGAAAAUGACGGUACCUGACUAAGAAGCCCCGGCUAACUACGUGCCAGCAGCCGCGGUAAUACGUAGGGGGCAAGCGUUAUCCGGAUUUACUGGGUGUAAAGGGAGCGUAGACGGCAUGGCAAGUCAGAUGUGAAAGCCCGGGGCUCAACCCCGGGACUGCAUUUGAAACUGUCAGGCUGGAGUGCAGGAGAGGUAAGUGGAAUUCCUAGUGUAGCGGUGAAAUGCGUAGAUAUUAGGAGGAACACCAGUGGCGAAGGCGGCUUACUGGACUGUAACUGACGUUGAGGCUCGAAAGCGUGGGGAGCAAACAGGAUUAGAUACCCCAGUA